rnacentral:rRNA from 1 species
UCGAGGAUCUUCGGCAAUGGGCGCAAGCCUGACCGAGCGACGCCGCGUGUGCGAUGAAGGCCUUCGGGUUGUAAAGCACUGUCGAGGGGGAGGAAGCCGCAAGGUUGACCUAUCCCUGGAGGAAGCACGGGCUAAGUUCGUGCCAGCAGCCGCGGUAAGACGAACCGUGCGAACGUUGUUCGGAAUCACUGGGCUUAAAGGGCGCGUAGGCGGGUUCCCAAGUCCGGGGUGAAAUCUUUCGGCUCAACCGGAAAAUAGCCCUGGAUACUGGGAGUCUCGAGCGAGGUAGGGGCAGCUGGAACUUCCGGUGGAGCGGUGAAAUGCGUUGAUAUCGGAAGGAACGCCGGUGGCGAAAGCGAGCUGCUGGACCUUUUCUGACGCUGAGGCGCGAAAGCCAGGGGAGCAAACGG